rnacentral:rRNA from 1 species
GCGAUCAUACCAGCCUUAAUGCAUCGGAUCAUAUCAGAACUCCGAAGUUAAGCGUGCUUGGCCGAGAGUAGAACUAGGAUGGGUGACCCCUGGGAAGUCCUCGUGUUGCACCCC